rnacentral:misc_RNA from 1 species
GAUGAAGAACGUAGCGAAAUGCGAUACGUAAUGUGAAUUGCAGAAUUCAGUGAAUCAUCGAAUCUUUGAACGCAUAUUGCGCUCUCUGGUAUUCCGGAGAGCAUGCUUGUUUGAGUAUCAGUAAACACCUCAACUUCCAUAUCUUUUUUGAAAUGGGAGUUGGACUUGAGUGAUCCCAACGCUUUUCCUCACCGAAAAGUGGCGGGUUACUUGAAAUGCAGGUGCAGCUGGACUUUUCUCUGAGUUAUAAGCAUAUCUAUUUAGUCUGCCUAAAAACAGAUUAUUACCUUUGCUGCAGCUAACAUAAAGGAGAUUAGUUCUUGUGCUGACUGAUGCAGGAUUCACAAAGACAGGCUUCGGCCGACUUUGUAAACUCGAUCUCAAAUCAAGUAAGACUACCCGCUGAACUUAAGCAUAUCAAUAAGCGGAGGA